UACAGAGGUCUCAAGCGUUGUUCGGAUUCAUUGGGCGUAAAGGGUGCGUAGGUGGCGUCGUAAGUCGGGUGUGAAAUUUCGGAGCUUAACUCCGAAACUGCAUUCGAUACUGCGGUGCUUGAGGACUGGAGAGGAGACUGGAAUUUACGGUGUAGCAGUGAAAUGCGUAGAGAUCGUAAGGAAGACCAGUGGCGAAGGCGGGUCGUCUGGACAGUUCCUGACACUGAGGCACGAAGGCCAGGGGAGCAAACAGG
rnacentral:rRNA from 1 species